CUCUCUCUCGUUUUUUAUAUCUUUCAGAGAACGGGAACCCUCACCAAAACCCUCGAGACGAAAAUCUCGUUUUCUCUCAGAUUCACAAUCAAAUCCAAAAUCUCUUGAGCUUUACUAACAAAUCAAAACCUGCGUUUACAUAAUCAAAAUCUGGAAUCGAUAUAUUCUCUAGAACCCUAAAAAAUUCCUAAACCUAGAAUCGUUCAUGAAAUCCGAAAUCAAUUCAUCUGAUAGUGGAUUAUCAUCGGGUGAAUCUACUACAGUUGAGAAUGGAACAGAGGAAAGCGAGUAUUACGUCUGGCACGAGUGAGUAAUUUCAAGUUGGUUCCUUUGAGUAUCUUAGAAGUGGUCUUAAACAUGUUUUGUGUGUACAUUUUUUUCCUUAAAAUGUGAUAUCUAAUUUUCCAUUUUAUUAAUGGAGUUUAUAUAUAUUUUGUUUCUUGUUCA